CAUAUCAGAUUUAAGCACCGGUUCUCGUACGAUCACCAAAGUUAAGCAACGACGAGCCUGGUCAGUAUCAAGAUGGGUGACCCGCUUGGAAAUACCAGAUGCUGUAA